CUGGUGCAGAUCUUGGUGGUAGUAGCAAAUACGCCCGUUGGUCUUAGUUGGUGGAGCGAUUUGUCUGGUUAAUUCCGAUAACGAACGAGACUCUAGCCUAUUAAAUAGGUGCGGGGUUCCCAGCACCUUACAACCUUCUUAGAGGGACAAGCGGCUCCUAGCCGCACGAAACAGAGCAAUAACAGGUCUGUGAUGCCCUUAGAUGUCCGG
rnacentral:rRNA from 1 species